GGCUGGUUAGCUCAGUCAGUCGAGUGUGGCGCUAACAAUGUCAAGGUCACGGGUUCGAUUCCUGUUCGGUCC
rnacentral:tRNA from 1 species